rnacentral:rRNA from 1 species
CUUACUGGUUAAUACCCGGUGAGGCUGAGAGUACCUGAAGAAUAAGCACCGGCUAACUACGUGCCAGCAGCCGCGGUAAUACGUAGGGUGCAAGCGUUAAUCGGAAUUACUGGGCGUAAAGCGUGCGCAGGCGGACUUUUAAGCCAGAUGUGAAAGCCCCGAGCUUAACUUGGGAAUUGCGUUUGGAACUGGGAGUCUAGAGUCUGUCAGAGGGGGAUGGAAUUCCACGUGUAGCAGUGAAAUGCGUAGAGAUGUGGAGGAACACCGAUGGCGAAGGCAGUCCCCUGGGAUAAGACUGACGCUCAUGCACGAAAGCGUGGGGAGCAAACAGGAUUAGAUACCCUGGUAGUCCACGCCCUAAACGAUGUCUACUAGUUGUUGGGGUAGCAAUACCUCAGUGACGCAGCUAACGCGUGAAGUAGACCGCCUGGGGAGUACGGUCGCAAGAUUAAAACUCAAAGGAAUUGACG